rnacentral:rRNA from 1 species
GAUGAACGCUAGCGGCAGGCUUAAUACAUGCAAGUCGUGGGGCAGCAUGAGUGUAGCAAUACAUUUGAUGGCGACCGGCAAACGGGUGCGGAACACGUACACAACCUUCCUAUAAGUGGGGAAUAGCCCAGAGAAAUUUGGAUUAAUACCCCGUAAUAUAACGAUGUGGCAUCACAUUGUUAUUAUAGCUUCGGCGCUUAUUGAUGGGUGUGCGGCUGAUUAGAUAGUUGGCGGGGUAACGGCCCACCAAGUCUACGAUCAGUAGCUGAUGUGUGAGCAUGAUCAGCCAGACGGUCACUGAGACACGAGCACGACUCCUACGGGAGGCAGGAGUAAGGAAUAUUGGUCAACGGACGCAAGUCUGAACCAGCCAUGCCGCGUGAAGGAUUAAGGUCCUCUGGAUUGUAAACUUCUUUUAUCUGGGACGAAAAAAGGCUUUUCUAAGUCACUUGACGAUACCAGAUGAAUAAGCACCGGCUAACUCCGUGCCAGCCGCCGCCGUAAGAC